rnacentral:lncRNA from 10 species
CAGGAGUUCUCAGAUCUGUGAUUUCAAGUCUUCCAACAACUCUUUUUGGGUGGGAGUAGUCAGGAGUCUGUGCUGUGGUUGAAGCCCAGGUUGGCCGUCGGGAGCUGAAAUAGAGGCCAGGACUCCUGGCUCCCCGUCCAGACUCUGAGGACCCAGGAGCCUCCAUGGGUACACUCAGAGGCCACACUAGAUGCAAAAAGAACCAUUUACAGAGAAGUGAGAGGUUCUCAAAGGCUCAACCAAAUGCCUCUGCCAGGAGAAUCUUUCAGAGUGUCCUGGAACAUUGGAAAUAGGCUUAAAGCUUAAAUGAUGAAUCAGAAGAGUUAUGCUGUAUUCUAAUGCUGCCACUAGAUUUCCAUUUGAUUUCAGUGGACUUUGAAGAUGGAUCACCUCUCUCAUUCAGAUGAAAUU